rnacentral:rRNA from 1 species
UACGUAGGGGGCAAGCGUUGUCCGGAUUUAUUGGGCGUAAAGAGCGUGUAGGCGGCCUGAUAGGUCAGCUGUGAAAACUCGAGGCUCAACCUCGAGACGUCGGUUGAAACCAUCUGGCUAGAGUCCGGAAGAGGAGUGUGGAAUUCCCGGUGUAGCGGUGAAAUGCGCAGAUAUCGGGAAGAACACCCGUGGCGAAGGCGGCACUCUGGGACGGUACUGACGCUGAGACGCGAAAGCGUGGGGAGUGAACAGG